rnacentral:rRNA from 1 species
GACGAACGCUGGCGGCGUGCCUAAUACAUGCAAGUCGAGCGAAGUUUUUCUGGUGCUUGCACCGGAAAAACUUAGCGGCGAACGGGUGAGUAACACGUAAAGAACCUGCCUCAUAGACUGGGACAACUAUUGGAAACGAUAGCUAAUACCGGAUAACAGCAUUAACUGCAUGGUUGAUGUUUAAAAGUUGGUUUUGCUAACACUAUGAGAUGGCUUUGCGGUGCAUUAGCUAGUUGGUGGGGUAAAGGCCUACCAAGGCGACGAUGCAUAGCCGACCUGAGAGGGUGAUCGGCCACACUGGGACUGAGACACGGCCCAGACUCCUACGGGAGGCAGCAGUAGGGAAUCUUCCGCAAUGGGCGAAAGCCUGACGGAGCAACGCCGCGUGAGUGAAGAAGGAUUUCGGUUCGUAAAGCUCUGUUGUUAGGGAAGAAUGAUUGUGUAGUAACUAGACACGGUAGAGACGGUACCUAACCAGAAAGCCACGGCUAACUACGUG